CCGGGAUUGGGCUUUAUAUAGACCAAUCCUCUGUCCAGAAGUGGGGGGGGGGGCAUGGUCCCUCCCUAACACGGGAUUGGGCCAAUUUAAGGGCAAUCCCCCACCAGGAAAUAGGGAGCAUGGUCCCUCCCCAGCACAAGAUUGGUCCAUUUGAGACCAAUCCCACACCAGGAAGUAGGAAGGUGGGACCCCAGGGGCAUGCUGGGGGCUGCAUUCCCCCCACCCCCAGAAUAUUUUAAAACCCACAAGAGUUACCACUCAAGUGCUAGCCUUCCUCUUUCCAUGUCUCGACUUUUUGCAGUAGUUUACUGGUCAGCAGGUGAGGUCUAUGACACCAGCGUGGGGACCAGCCCAGAGUGAACAAGGUGACAGUACCAGCUGAGGCUACUGGAGGUGACUACGACAGCAAAGGCAGAAGCUUUGGGAGCCCUCAGCCCAGAGAUGAACAUUACAAAAAUCAUUCUUUUACUUGAAUUUCUGGAAUUUGCUGACUACAUUUCUGGUUCUUCCUCUGGAAUAGCAUCCAAAUUUAUAAAGGAGAAACUAGUGGAGCUCAAGGAUGAAAUAGAUAGUAAAACUAUACUAGUGGGAGAACUGAACUUUCCUCUAUCAAAUAUAGAUAAGUCAAACCAAAAAAUAAAUAAGAAAGAGGUAAGUGAUUUGAAUGAAAUCUUAGAUAAAUUAGAGUUAGCAUGUAUGUGCAGAAAAAUAAAUAGGCACAAAAAGGCAUACAUCUUCUUUUCAGUAGCACAUAGUAAGUCACAAAGAUUGACCAUGUGCUAGGGCAUAAAACCAUUGCAAACAAGCGCAAAAGAGGAGAAAUCAUAAAUGAAACCUUUUCAGAUCAUAAUAUAAUAAAAAUAAUAAUUAGUAAGGGUACA
rnacentral:lncRNA from 1 species